AGUGUGCUGUACUACGCACGGCCGUAUCUACUGCGGCGCGUGGCGGUCAACUGAACCAUUUCCAGUAGUUAUAAAGUCGUUAGGGUCUGACUAAUAGUAGUUCGUAUCACUUGACGGCGCAGCUUCGAAACAAGUGCCUCUAGUUUCGGAGCAAUCUCAUUCCCAAUUUGUUUCAAACGAUUAAUAACAAUUCACUCUGAUGAAUACAAAGAAAGCAUUACGUGGCAAUUACGGUGAUCGAUGGAUGAUAAUCACCAGGAAAAUCCAUUUACGAUUCAUUUUUUUUUUCUUCUCAUUUACGUUCAACAGAAAGCAAGAGAAUAACUCAUUUAUAGAUAUUACGUGUGCAAUUCUAUUCUCUCCACUGCAACUGAAUGGUAAUGGAAAAUAAUUACUUUCUUACGACUUUCCGUGACUUUUGUAUCUGAUCGCUUAAUUUUUUUAACCCACGCCAAAGUUCUUCUAUACAGUUAGCUGUAGUUUGACAGAUAAAACCAGUUCCAUUAUGCGGGUCUAUCGGCCAGCUGUUUUCUUCUAUCGAAACAAAGUCGACGCAACACAAUAGGCGUUUAUCGGUACACUUGGGUGCAGUGUAGGCAUCUCUUGACUAUAAGAGUAGGUGCAAGGUGUUGUUGGUUUUGAAGAGAACCUAGAGAAAGCCUCGGAAAGGAAGCUGACUUCGUCUAGGAGGAAAAUUCCUAUCCUUCCACGUUCCAAGAACAGAAGAUAAAUAAGGGAAUAACGUUAUCCAAGAUCUGUCAGGGAAAGGGUUGAGCCGAUUCGUGGCUCGAAAAUUCGUGGCUCGAAAAACGAAUACGUUAACUUUCACUUUUGAACGGUCACUUCCUGUCCGGCCGGUGGAUUACAUCCAAUUCUUAUUCGUCGCACGCACGAGCGGCCACUGACAAAAAUAUCUCGAUUACACGCGGCUUACAAUGAUGAAACCGGAGAAUUUCUGUAUCCUAACACGUUAACUAGCUGCACAAUAGCAGCCUUUUUUCGAUGAAAAAAAAAGAAAGAGGAGAAGAUUCAUACCUGAGCGAGUGGAGCCUCAUCGUUCCCUGAUCCGUCAAUCGAGCAGCACUUGGCGGAGAGAAUAGAUCUCUAAAGAGUCGGCUGUUUGAUCGCGAAAACGAUCAUGGAACGUUUACAGGAUCGAA